rnacentral:tRNA from 2 species
GGAGAGGUGUCCGAGUGGUCGAAGGAGCGCGCCUGGAAAGCGCGUAAGUCGAAAGGCUUCGAGGGUUCGAAUCCCUCCCUCUCCGCCA